GGCCCUUUAGCUCAGUGGUCAGAGCAGGCGGCUCAUAACCGCUUGGUCGCUGGUUCAAGUCCAGCAAGGGCCACCA
rnacentral:tRNA from 1 species